GAUGAACGCUGGCGGCGUGCCUAAUACAUGCAAGUCGAGCGAACGGACGCGAAGCUUGCUUCUCUGAUGUUAGCGGCGGACGGGUGAGUAACACGUGGAUAACCUACCUAUAAGACUGGGAUAACUUCGGGAAACCGGAGCUAAUACCGGAUAAUAUUAUGAACCGCAUGGUUCAAAAGUGAAAGACGGUCUUGCUGUCACUUAUAGAUGGAUCCGCGCUGCAUUAGCUAGUUGGUAAGGUAACGGCUUACCAAGGCAACGAUGCAUAGCCGACCUGAGAGGGUGAUCGGCCACACUGGAACUGAGACACGGUCCAGACUCCUACGGGAGGCAGCAGUAGGGAAUCUUCCGCAAUGGGCGAAAGCCUGACGGAGCAACGCCGCGUGAGUGAUGAAGGUCUUCGGAUCGUAAAACUCUGUUAUUAGGGAAGAACAUAUGUGUAAGUAACUGUGCACAUCUUGACGGUACCUAAUCAGAAAGCCACGGCUAACUACGUG
rnacentral:rRNA from 1 species